AAACACCCCUCAAUUAUCUAUUCUGUCUAGUUAUGGAAAGGAUGAUUGGAUAUUGAGUGUUGCCAUCAUUUGGCUCACUUUAAAAACAUAAGUCAUUUUUAAACUUGAGUUGGAUUGACUAUGAUGUGAUAAAAUAUCUUCAUCUAGGAAUGGUAUCUUGUGUACCGCCAGCUUCUUGCAAAGGAAAGGCUCAUAACCAGUGAUAGUGAAGUUUCACAACUUUAGCUACACACCUUAAAU
rnacentral:misc_RNA from 1 species